CCUACGGGAGGCAGCAGUGAGGAAUAUUGGUCAAUGGACGAGAGUCUGAACCAGCCAAGUAGCGUGAAGGAUGACUGCCCUAUGGGUUGUAAACUUCUUUUAUAAAGGAAUAAAACGAGGCACGUGUGCCUUUUUGCAUGUACUUUAUGAAUAAGGAUCGGCUAACUCCGUGCCAGCAGCCGCGGUAAUACGGAGGAUCCGAGCGUUAUACGGAUGUAUUGGGUUUAAAGGGAGCGUAGAUGGGUUGUUAAGUCAGUUGUGAAAGUUUGCGGCUCAACCGUAAAAUUGCAAUUGAUACUGGCAGUCUUGAGUACAGUUGAGGUAGGCGGAAUUCGUGGUGUAGCGGUGAAAUGCUUAGAUAUCACGAAGAACCCCGAUUGCGAAGGCAGCUUACUAAACUGUGACUGACAUUGAUGCUCGAAAGUGUGGGUAUCAAACAGGAUUAGAUACCCUUGUAGUC
rnacentral:rRNA from 1 species